rnacentral:rRNA from 1 species
GGCAGACGGGUGAGUAACACGUGGGUAACCUGCCCCUGAGUGGGGAAUAACCCAGGGAAACUUGGGCUAAUACCGCAUAACAUCGCUUUCUCUCUGGGGAGAGCGAUUAAAGGUGGGGAUCGAAAGACCUACCGCUUAGGGAGGGGCCCGCGUCUGAUUAGCUUGUUGGUGGGGUAAAGGCCUACCAAGGCUUCGAUCGGUAGCCGGCCUGAGAGGGUGAUCGGCCACACUGGAACUGAGACACGGUCCAG